AUUGAACGCUGGCGGCAGGCCUAACACAUGCAAGUCGAGCGGAUCGCCGGACGGGUGAGUAAUGCCUAGGCAUCUGCCUGGUAGUUGGGGAUAACGUCCGCAACCGGGCGCUAAUACCACAUACUAUCACAUGAGCCUAGGUCGGAUUAGCUAGUUGGUGGGGUAAAGGCCUACCCAGGCGACGAUCCGUAACUGGUCUGAGAGGAUGAUCAGUCACACGGGAACUGAGACACGGUCCAGACUCCUACGGGAGGCAGCAGUGGGGAAUAUUGGACAAUGGGCGAAAGCCUGAUCCAGCCAUGCCGCGUGUGUGAAGAAGGUCUUCGGAUUGUAAAGCACUUUAAGUUGGGAGGCGUUACCAACAGAAGAAGCACCGGCUAACUUCGUGCCAGCAGCCGCGGUAAUUC
rnacentral:rRNA from 1 species